rnacentral:rRNA from 2 species
GAGUUUGAUCAUGGCUCAGAGCGAACGCUGGCGGCAGGCUUAACACAUGCAAGUCGAGCGGGCGUAGCAAUACGUCAGCGGCAGACGGGUGAGUAACGCGUGGGAACGUACCUUUUGGUUCGGAACAACACAGGGAAACUUGUGCUAAUACCGGAUAAGCCCUUACGGGGAAAGGUUUAUCGCCGAAAGAUCGGCCCGCGUCUGAUUAGCUAGUUGGUGAGGUAAUGGCUCACCAAGGCGACGAUCAGUAGCUGGUCUGAGAGGAUGAUCAGCCACAUUGGGACUGAGACACGGCCCAAACUCCUACGGGAGGCAGCAGUGGGGAAUAUUGGACAAUGGGCGCAAGCCUGAUCCAGCCAUGCCGCGUGAGUGAUGAAGGCCCUAGGGUUGUAAAGCUCUUUCGACGGGGACGAUGAUGACGGUACCCGUAGAAGAAGCCCCGGCUAACUUCGUGCCAGCAGCCGCGGU